rnacentral:lncRNA from 1 species
AACAAGUUGGAAGUUAAAGAAAAAGAGAAAGUUUAAUUAUUUUUUUGUUACCUGUAGCUUCUAAUUCUAGUAAAAUAAUUGACGAUGUAAAAUAAUUGAUGAUAGGGAAAGUUGUAAAUGCAUUAAGAAGUUUAGGAAAAUUAGUGGAGGUGGAGUUUUGCUUCAAAAGAUGAUUAAUUAACGUUACUCAUUUGAGAGAAGUGGGAAGAGUGAUUCCAAUGAAAACAGUUAAAAAUGUUUUGAACGCUAUCAUGGUAUACAGACAUUUAGCAAGGAUGGAAGAAAAGAUACUAUUGAUGGUGACAAAAUUUGUUAUGAUGCAAACAACAUCGAGGGUGCCAUUAGAAACAUUAAAACGAUGCAAAAAAUAAUGUUUUUGCUAGAUUGUAUUUAUAUGUUAAUAUUGUCAAAAAUAUAUUUUUUUUUAUUGU